UACGUAGGGUCCAAGCGUUAUCCGGAAUCACUGGGCGUAAAGCGUGCGUAGGUGGCGUGUUAAGUGUGAUGUUAAAUCGUGUGGCUCAACCAUAUCGAUGUGUCGCAUACUGGCAUGCUAGAGGACAGCAGAGGCGAGUGGAAUUCCCGGUGUAGCGGUGAAAUGCGCAGAUAUCGGGAGGAACACCAAUGGCGAAGGCAGCUCGCUGGGACGGUACUGACGCUGAGGCGCGAAAGCGUGGGGAGCAAACAGG
rnacentral:rRNA from 1 species